rnacentral:rRNA from 1 species
GACGAACGCUGGCGGCGUGCCUAAUACAUGCAAGUUGAGCGCUGAAGGUUGGUACUUGUACCAACUGGAUGAGCAGCGAACGGGUGAGUAACGCGUGGGGAAUCUGCCUUUGAGCGGGGGACAACAUUUGGAAACGAAUGCUAAUACCGCAUAAAAACUUUAAACACAAGUUUUAAGUUUGAAAGAUGCAAUUGCAUCACUCAAAGAUGAUCCCGCGUUGUAUUAGCUAGUUGGUGAGGUAAAGGCUCACCAAGGCGAUGAUACAUAGCCGACCUGAGAGGGUGAUCGGCCACAUUGGGACUGAGACACGGCCCAAACUCCUCCGGGAGGCAGCAGUAGGGAAUCUUCGGCAAUGGACGAAAGUCUGACCGAGCAACGCCGCGUGAGUGAAGAAGGUUUUCGGAUCGUAAAACUCUGUUGGUAGAGAAGAACGUUGGUGAGAGUGGAAAGCUCAUCAAGUGACGGUAACUACCCAGAAAGGGACGGCUAACUACGUG